UACGUAGGCAGCGAGCGUUUGUUCGGAGUUACUGGGCGUAAAGGGUGUGUAGGCGGUUGUUUAAGUUUGGUGUGAAAUCUCCCGGCUCAACUGGGAGGGUGCGCCGAAUACUGAAUGACUUGGAGUGCGGGAGAGGAGAGUGGAAUUCCUGGUGUAGCGGUGAAAUGCGUAGAUAUCAGGAGGAACACCGGUGGUGUAGACGGCUCUCUGGACCGUAACUGACGCUGAGACACGAAAGCGUGGGUAGCAAACAGG
rnacentral:rRNA from 1 species